UGGGGGAUAUUGCACAAUGGGCGAAAGCCUGAUGCAGCGACGCCGCGUGGGGGAUGAAGGCUUUCGGGUUGUAAACCUCUUUCGCUAUCGAACAAGGCCCGCUUAGGGUGGGUUGAGGGUAGGUGGAGAAGAAGCGCCGGCUAACUACGUGCCAGCAGCCGCGGUAAUACGUAGGGCGCGAGCGUUGUCCGGAAUUAUUGGGCGUAAAGGGCUGUAGGCGGCUUGUUGCGCCUGCUGUGAAAACGCGGGGCUUAACUUCGCGCGUGCAGUGGGUACGGGCAGGCUUGAGUGUGGUAGGGGUGACUGGAAUUCCAGGUGUAGCGGUGGAAUGCGCAGAUAUCUGGAGGAACACCGAUGGCGAAGGCAGGUCACUGGGCCAUUACUGACGCUGAGGAGCGAAAGCAUGGGUAGCGAACAGG
rnacentral:rRNA from 1 species